rnacentral:rRNA from 1 species
UGGGGAAUAUUGGACAAUGGGCGCAAGCCUGAUCCAGCCAUGCCGCGUGAGUGAUGAAGGCCCUAGGGUUGUAAAGCUCUUUCACCGGUGAAGAUAAUGACGGUAACCGGAGAAGAAGCCCCGGCUAACUUCGUGCCAGCAGCCGCGGUAAUACGAAGGGGGCUAGCGUUGUUCGGAUUUACUGGGCGUAAAGCGCACGUAGGCGGACUUUUAAGUCAGGGGUGAAAUCCCGGGGCUCAACCCCGGAACUGCCUUUGAUACUGGAAGUCUUGAGUAUGGUAGAGGUGAGUGGGAUUCCAAGUGUAGAGGUGAAAUUCAUAGAUAUUCGGAGGAACACCAGUGGCAAAGGCGGCUCACUGAACCAUUACUGACGCUGAGGUGCGAAAGCGUGGGGAGCAAACAGG